AUUGAACGCUGGCGGCAUGCUACACAUGCAAGUCGGACGGCAGCACAGAGAAGCUUGCUUCUUGGGUGGCGAGUGGCGAACGGGUGAGUAAUAUAUCGGAACGUACCGAGUAAUGGGGGAUAACUAAUCGAAAGAUUAGCUAAUACCGCAUAUUCUCUGAGGAGGAAAGCAGGGGACCUUCGGGCCUUGCGUUAUUCGAGCGGCCGAUAUCUGAUUAGCUAGUUGGUGGGGUAAAGGCCUACCAAGGCGACGAUCAGUAGCGGGUCUGAGAGGAUGAUCCGCCACACUGGGACUGAGACACGGCCCAGACUCCUACGGGAGGCAGCAGUGGGGAAUUUUGGACAAUGGGCGCAAGCCUGAUCCAGCCAUGCCGCGUGUCUGAAGAAGGCCUUCGGGUUGUAAAGGACUUUUGUCAGGGAAGAAAAGGCUGUUGCUAAUACCGACAGCUGAUGACGGUACCUGAAGAAUAAGCACCGGCUAACUACGUG
rnacentral:rRNA from 1 species